CUGCGUCAGACUGGGGCCUCUUUAGAUGGUAAAUCCCCUUAGCAGCAGGCAUCGAUAGGUUUGUUUCUGCUUUGGCAGCCUGGAGAGCUUGGAAGAAAAGAUGAGUGAAACUGACCUGGCAGAGAUAUUCUUCCAAGAAUAUCCUCUCAAAUUUUUGCCAUAUUUUAAAAUCUAAUUUGAUAAUUUUAGUUGUUAUUUAACCGAUGGCUUGUUAUGUCAUGGUAUGAUGUUGUCUUCAUCGCUCAGCUUCCCUUCUGUUUCUAAAUGAGUUCUGAGAGUCUUUUGAAGCCUUAAUCUGUCAGCACUCACUAAUCCCUAGGAUCAACUCCGGGCGAAGAGGAGACCUUGAGUGAUCUUCAGAGAGACUUGGUAGAAGGAGGUUUAAACAGCCCGAAUUCGGUGAAUGCCUAGAGCAGGAUGGAGGCCGAGGAAGGUGGCCUUGCAUCCUGGAACUCCAUCUCUCUUCUGUGUAGGCAAUGUGAGGAGCCAGACACCAGAUACUCACCGUACAUGGUAGUGCGGAUAGCAGAGGCAGAGAUGAAGGCCUAUCAUCGUUUCUUGGGGAGCUGCACCAGCCUGGAGUACAGGGCAAGAAAAGCACUUCCAGUAAACAGCACCUCCCUGCUUUCCAAAGCUGGACACACUCCUGAUGUCUGCUGUGCUGCAGUCUGCAAACCAUCAUAGAAUUCUGACAGCUGCCUGGUCCUUCUCUGCCAUCAACUAAGAGAUCCACAUGGAGGUGCCUCCUGGGCCUGAUGAACAUAAAGAGAGUAACUAUUUGGCGCUCCCAUGUGCUCUGCUAGUGCUGAGCUCUGGGGCCAGGUGCAGAGGUUCCUGUGCAGUGCUCAAAAUCAUAACAAACUUUGUGAGAGGGUGGAAGUGUUUCAUUUUCUAUGUGUAUCAUGCCAUGAUUAUAUCAAUAUGUGUCUAGAUUUAGCAAUUGUAUAUUUAAUAUUUGUGUAGUCUACUUGUAUUCAACAAAAUUCUGUUAGUAUAAAAUAAAAGGUAUAGAUAACACAUUUCAUUAUGUAAACUAAGGGAGUUUACAUUCUCCUUCUUGGGGUAGGGGGUUGCUAUGUACACAGAUGCACUCACCCGUGUGGGCAAUGUGUAGAGAGUGAAGGUUGAUAUCCAAAUGUCUGUAUUAAUCACAUUUCCACUUUACAUUUUUUAAUUAAAAAUUUUAUUACUGUA